rnacentral:tRNA from 1 species
GCGAGAGUGGCGGAAAUGGUAGACGCACUGGACUUAGGAUCCAGCGGGUUUGCACCUAUGCGAGUUCGACUCUCGCCUCUCGCACCA